rnacentral:rRNA from 1 species
GACGAACGCUGGCGGCGUGCUUAACACAUGCAAGUCGAACGGAAAGGCCCUGCUUUUGUGGGGUGCUCGAGUGGCGAACGGGUGAGUAGCACGUGAGUAACCUGCCCUUGACUUUGGGAUAACUUCAGGAAACUGGGGCUAAUACCGGAUAGGAGCUCCUGCUGCAUGGUGGGGGUUGGAAAGUUUCGGCGGUUGGGGAUGGACUCGCGGCUUAUCAGCUUGUUGGUGGGGUAGUGGCUUACCAAGGCUUUGACGGGUAGCCGGCCUGAGAGGGUGACCGGCCACAUUGGGACUGAGAUACGGCCCAGACUCCUACGGGAGGCAGCAGUGGGGAAUAUUGCACAAUGGGCGGAAGCCUGAUGCAGCAACGCCGCGUGCGGGAUGACGGCCUUCGGGUUGUAAACCGCUUUCGCCUGUGACGAAGCGUAAGUGACGGUAAUGGGUAAAGAAGCACCGGCUAACUACGUG